rnacentral:rRNA from 1 species
UACGUAGGGUGCAAGCGUUAAUCGGAAUUACUGGGCGUAAAGCGUGCGCAGGCGGUCUUGCAAGACAGAUGUGAAAAUCCCCGGGCUCAACCUGGGAACUGCAUUUGUGACUGCAAGGCUGGAGUGCGGCAGAGGGGGGAUGGAAUUCCGCGUGUAGCAGCGAAAAUGCGUAGAUAUGCGGAGGAACACCGAUGGCGAAAGGCAAAUCCCCUGGGCCUGCACUGACGCUCAUGCACGAAAAGCGUGGGGAGC